ensembl:miRNA
GAGCUGUUGGAUUCGGGGCCGUAACACUGUCUGAGAGGUUUACAUUUCUCACAGUGAACCGGUCUCUUUUUCAGCUGCUUCCUG